GMUCYGUMGUCCUAGAGAUAGGACGUCCCCUUCGGGGGCAGAGUGACAGGUGGUGCAUGGUUGUCGUCAGCUCGUGUCGUGAGAUGUUGGGUUAAGUCCCGCAACGAGCGCAACCCUUGAUCUUAGUUGCCAGCAUUCAGUUGGGCACUCUAAGGUGACUGCCGGUGACAAACCGGAGGAAGGUGGGGAUGACGUCAAAUCAUCAUGCCCCUUAUGACCUGGGCUACACACGUGCUACAAUGGACAGAACAAAGGGCAGCGAAACCGCGAGGUUAAGCCAAUCCCACAAAUCUGUUCUCAGUUCGGAUCGCAGUCUGCAACUCGACUGCGUGAAGCUGGAAUCGCUAGUAAUCGCGGAUCAGCAUGCCGCGGUGAAUACGUUCCCGGGUCUUGUACACACCGA
rnacentral:rRNA from 1 species